rnacentral:rRNA from 1 species
UACAGAGGUCUCAAGCGUUGUUCGGAUUCAUUGGGCGUAAAGGGUGCGUAGGCGGCGCGGUAAGUCGGGUGUGAAAUCUUGGAGCUUAACUCCGAAACUGCAUUCGAUACUGCCGUGCUUGAGGACUGGAGAGGAGACUGGAAUUUACGGUGUAGCGGUGAAAUGCGUAGAUAUCGUAAGGAAGACCAGUGGCGAAGGCGGGCCUCUGGACAGUUCCUGACGCUGAGGCACGAAGGCCAGGGGAGCAAACGGG